rnacentral:rRNA from 1 species
GGAAGUAAAAGUCGUAACAAGGUAUCUGUAGGUGAACCUGCAGAUGGAUCAUUUCGAUGAAAACCUUUUUUCUUGAGGUGUGGCUCGCACCUGUCUAACUAAAUCGAGCUACCACAUUUUAACACGGUUGCAUCGGUUGGCUGUCAAACAGUGCGCGCGGCGAAUUCAUUUUCGCCCGCGCUCUGCGAGACGGUCGACACUUUACCAAAAACACUGUUGAUACCAUAGGAUUUGAACGUAGAUGAAACUCGACUGGUAAUGCGGGCCGUCUAAAAUCUAAAAACAACUUUUGGCAACGGAUCUCUUGGUUCUCCCAUCGAUGAAGAACGCAGCGAAUUGCGAUAAGUAAUGUGAAUUGCAGAAGUGAAUCAUCGAAUCUUUGAACGCACCUUGCGCUCCCGGCAGAUCUAAUCUGGGGAGCAUGCCUGUUUGAGGGCCGCGAAUUGUUUCGAACGACUAGCUUUCUUAUUUAGUUGAGCGAGCUGGCGGAUCGGUAUUGAGGGUCUUGCCAUUUUCCACGGUGGCUCCCUCGAAAUGCAUUAGCGCAUCCAUUCGAUAGGCAAGACGGACGAAAGCUCGUUAUUUCGCCCACGUCUUUCCCUGCCGGGUUUUGAUAAUAUCAGGACUUCGGAGAGGAAAGGCGCUGGGUCGAGGAGCUGGACGCGACGUUUUGCUGGUUGGAGUGCUUCUGAACCCCGCCCAUGCCUCCUUCUCCGGAAGAGGAAGGGAUUUAAUUUCAAUUCAUCGGCCUCAGAUUGGUAGGACUACCCGCUGAACUUAAGCAUAUCAAUAAGCGGAGGA